rnacentral:rRNA from 1 species
CGUAGGGUGCGAGCGUUAAUCGGAAUUACUGGGCGUAAAGCGUGCGCAGGCGGUUUUGUAAGACGGAUGUGAAAUCCCCGGGCUCAACCUGGGACCUGCAUUUGUGACUGCAAGGCUAGAGUACGGUAGAGGGGAGUGGAAUUCCGCGUGUAGCAGUGAAAUGCGUAGAUAUGCGGAGGAACACCGAUGGCGAAGGCAAUCCCCUGGACCUGUACUGACGCUCAUGCACGAAAGCGUGGGGAGCAAACAGGAUUAGAUACCCUGGUAGUCCACGCCCUAAACGAUGUCAACUGGUUGUUGGGUCUUUAACUGACUCAGUAACGAAGCUAACGCGUCGAAGUUGACCGCCUGGGGAGUACGGACCGACAAGGUUG